GAGGUAGAGCUGACCAGCGCCCCUUCAGCGAAGCGGGAGGAAGAACGGAGCCCCUUCUGUUCCUCAUCCCACUUCGCUGAAAGGGCGCUGCACAGCUCUCCCUC